rnacentral:tRNA from 1 species
GGAUCGCCUGCGCCGCGGGCACGACGCGCGAGUGGCUGCCGCCGACUCCCGGCGAGCAGGUCGUGCUGCUCUGCCCGGUGGGCGAUCCG